rnacentral:rRNA from 1 species
UACAGAGGUCUCAAGCGUUGUUCGGAUUCAUUGGGCGUAAAGGGUGCGUAGGCGGCGCGGUAAGUCGGGUGUGAAAUCUCGGAGCUUAACUCCGAAACUGCAUUCGAUACUGGCGUGCUUGAGGACUGGAGAGGAGACUGGAAUUCAUGGUGUAGCAGUGAAAUGCGUAGAGAUCAUGAGGAAGACCAGUGGCGAAGGCGGGUCUCUGGACAGUUCCUGACACUGAGACACGAAGGCUAGGGGAGCAAACGGG